rnacentral:ribozyme from 1 species
GCAGAGUGGGACGGUUGGAGAAUGCGCUGCU